GGUCCCAUAUGAUCACCGAAGAUAAGCAACAUCGAGCAUGUUCAGUACCUAGAUGGGUGACCACUUGGGAAUACCAGAUGCU